ensembl:misc_RNA Metazoa_SRP Metazoan signal recognition particle RNA
GCUGGGCGCAGUGGUGUGCGCCUGUAGUCCCAGCUACUCUGGAGGCUGAGGCAGGAGAAUCACUUGAACCCGGGAGGCAGAGCUUGCAGUGAGUGAGCCAAGAUCGCACCGCUGCACUCCAGCCUGGUGACAGAGCAAGACUCUGUCUCAAAAAAAAAAAAGAGAUAGGGUCUCACCCUCUUGCCCAGAGUGGAGUACAGUGGUGUGAUCAUGGCUCACUGCAGCCUUAAACUCCUGGGCUCAAGGGCUUCUCCUGCCUCAU